CAAAUGUACUGCUGCUUUUGAACACUUAGUAAAUAAUGAAAAUAAUACAUCUCGCAUUGAACUAAUCCCAUGUAAUCCUCGCCAGCCGUGUGCUUCUAUCUGAUGCAAGAACAUCUACAUCUUAAAUGCUUUGGUUGUAGCAUCUUACAAACGCAUGUUUAUACCCAGACACUGAGAUAUUCAUAAAUCUAGUUUCCAGGAAUUUUGCAUGCAGCGUUUGGGUUUCUGCAUGCGUGUGUUUUGUCGGAGCGCUGUCAGUCAUUUAUAUGGAGUUGUGUGAAUUUCUGAAUGACUAACAGCAUUCCUGUUCAGUAUUCCUGUCUCUGCGUAUUCGAGUAGGGCUCCGUGGACAAUAACUCAUGAAUUUUUAAGGUCAGAUCAGGUCUGCUCCGCUGCGGCUUUCAAAUGUUCUUUGAGGCACCUGCACCUAAAUACUUCACAUAUACAGCUGAAGCCUGCUUCAGAGAUGCUCUAGACAAGCAAAGGUGAUGCUCUUGGCAAACAAAGGUGAUGAGCUCAGAAAUCCAAUUCAGUUUCCUGUGGGGCUUGGCCAAUUCAUUUCAAACUCAUGAACCGAAGGUAAUUCUAUUCUUAAUCUUUUGCUCAUGAUUCUCUUAUGUUGGUGUUGACUUGCUCAAGUGUUCUGGUCUUAAACUAAGAGGUGUUGUGUGUGACCGUUCUCAAAGCCCGAGAACACAGUUAGAUGUAAUGGCUAUUCAUGUACACAUUUAGAGAGAUAAUAGAAUGAACUGAUCACAUUCAUUCUUUUUAAAGUCCAUUUACAGCACAUUCAUCUCGCUAUUACAGCAUUAAGUAUAGAAUAAGACACCAAUGCACGCUAAAGCAAAAGCCAGGUCUUACAUAAACCACUUGGCACAGACCAAUUAGGACACACAGUGAACACUAAUAUAUCACAGAUUGGGCUCCUUCCUUGCAUCUUCGCUGCACUGCUGUUCUGUUCGCUCUCUACAGUAGCUAUAAUAGCAUC
ensembl:lncRNA